rnacentral:rRNA from 1 species
UACGGGGGGGGCAAGCGUUGUUCGGAAUUACUGGGCGUAAAGGGUUCGUAGGUGGCCAACUAAGCCAGACGUGAAAUCCCUCAGCUUAACUGGGGAACUGCGUCUGGGACUGGAUGGCUUGAGUGCAGGAGAGGAACGCGGAAUUCCAGGUGUAGCGGUGAAAUGCGUAGAUAUCUGGAGGAACACCGGUGGCGAAGGCGGCGUUCUGGACUGCAACUGACACUGAGGAACGAAAGCGUGGGGAGCAAACAGG